GGACUUUAUGUCGCAAGGAAACAGCACCGGCAGUGUUCCACUGUAUUCGCAGCAGCUAGUGCCACUGCCACCCCCGCUCUUGGUUCCACUGGGAGAAGAUUCAUCACACUUCAGCAGGUCUGCAUUGCCGGAUGUUGAUAUGCGCGGUCAAUACCGGGGAGAUGUCUUUGGCAGUGAGAAGACCCCGCACAGAACUCAGCUCCAGCGAGAAAGCCAUAUCCUUGCCGAGCGUCAAAGGCGAGAGGAAAUGAACGAUAAGUUCUCAUCCCUCCGAGCAAUGCUCCCGAAAUCUUCAAAGGUAUGUCUGUAGCCUGUAGAAUAUAUGAGAGGUGGUACAGGGACUAAAAAACCAAUUACCUGGCUUUUGCUGCAGAAAGACAAAGCGUCCAUAGUCGGGGAUACAAUAAACUACGUUGUGGACCUCGAGAAGACGUUGAAACGACUCCAAGCUUGCAGAGCAAAGAGAAAAGGUUGCCACAUUCCAAAAGAGAAAAGUUUGAAAAGCUCACCAUCAUCCGACCCGAAGUUGGAGGCCUCGAAAACUGACACUGUAAGUAUCGAUCGGUUCCCAGGUAGCUCUGUUUCGAUCAUAACAGUCGUGAACUUAUGCUGCAGGUCCAGAGAUUGCCAGUCCAGGUCGAAGUUCAAGCGCUGGGAGAGCAGGCUGUAGUAAAACUGGUAUGUGGAAAAUCGCCUAAGCUUGUUCUGAGAAUACUGACAGCAUUGGAGCAAUGUAAAGUCGAGGUUCUCCAAUCUAAUGUCACCACCCUGGGAGAUAUUGCUGUUCAUUUCUUCACAAUAGAGGUUAGUACUUGCAUAGUCCAUGAAUGAAAAAAAGGGAACUCUUACCAAGUUUUUCAACUCUGCAGCUCACUCCCGGUGUGAGUGCCACAACCGAAGAGCUCAUCGCAGCUUUAGAAGCAGCUGCUGCUGCAAUGAACUCCUCAACAUCCUGACCUGAUUGUCCUGGCACCAU
rnacentral:lncRNA from 1 species